GCCGCGGUAGCUCAAAUGGUAGAGCAUCGCACACGUGAUGCGAAGACGUGGGUUCAUUCCCCACCUGUGGCA